rnacentral:rRNA from 1 species
UACAGAGGUCUCAAGCGUUUGUUCGGAUUCAUUGGGCGUAAAGGGUGUGUAGGUGGCGCCGUAAGUCGGGUGUGAAAUUUCGGAGCUUAACUCCGAAACUGCAUUCGAUACUGCGGUGCUUGAGGACUGGAGAGGAGACUGGAAUUCAUGGUGUAGCAGUGAAAUGCGUAGAGAUCAUGAGGAAGACCAGUGGCGAAGGCGGGGUCUCUGGACAGUUCCUGACACUGAGACACGAAGGCCAGGGGGAGCAAAACGGGG